GUUUGGAGAAGACAAGAUGGCGCUGGUUACCUCGUGUCAUAUCAAAGGGCAUUUUUGUUCACAAAUACCCGCUUAUUUUACGUUAUAGCGACUGGUUCGUUUUGGAAAUUAUAACUCAAUGGACGGGGAAAAUGAUUCUGUAUUAAAGAGAAAGUGAUGUGCAGUUAUUGUGAUGUUAUUUGUUGUGAAAGACGGCCCGAAAUUUCGCUACUUCGCAGUACUGGUUUAUAAAACAUUUACAAGCAACAGCAAUUGAACUAUAUGACAAAGAAACCAAUGUAUACAAGCCAAUCAAGUUCUUCAGUUUAAAGGUCUGUUUACUUUUUAAUAAUUAGUUCAUUUAGUUGUACAUUAAUACGAAGUACUGGAACAGUACGCCUAAUCACAGAAUAGG